AUCCAGACUCCUACGGGAGGCAGCAGUGGGGAAUAUUGCACAAUGGGGGAAACCCUGAUGCAGCGACGCCGCGUGAGUGAAGAAGUAUUUCGGUAUGUAAAGCUCUAUCAGCAGGGAAGAAAAUGACGGUACCUGAUUAAGAAGCCCCGGCUAACUACGUGCCAGCAGCCGCGGUAAUACGUAGGGGGCAAGCGUUAUCCGGAUUUACUGGGUGUAAAGGGAGCGUAGACGGUGAUGCAAGUCAGAAGUGAAAGCCCGGGGCUCAACUCCGGGACUGCUUUUGAAACUGUGUGACUGGAGUGCAGGAGAGGUAAGCGGAAUUCCUGGUGUAGCGGUGAAAUGCGUAGAUAUCAGGAGGAACACCAGUGGCGAAGGCGGCUUGCUGGACGAUGACUGACGUUGAGGCUCGAAAGCGUGGGGAGCAAACAGGAUUAGAUACCCGGGUAAU
rnacentral:rRNA from 1 species